rnacentral:rRNA from 1 species
ACUCCUACGGGAGGCAGCAGUGGGGAAUAUUGCACAAUGGGCGCAAGCCUGAUGCAGCCAUGCCGCGUGUAUGAAGAAGGCCUUCGGGUUGUAAAGUACUUUCAGCAGUGAGGAAGGUGGGUAUGUUAAUAGCAUAUUCUAUUUGUACGUUAGCUGCAGAAGAAGCACCGGCUAACUCCGUGCCAGCAGCCGCGGUAAUACGGAGGGUGCGAGCGUUAAUCGGAAUUACUGGGCGUAAAGCGCAUGCAGGUGGUUUGUUAAGUCAGAUGUGAAAGCCCGGGGCUCAACCUCGGAAUUGCAUUUGAAACUGGCAAACUAGAGUACUGUAGAGGGGGUAGAAUUUCAGGUGUAGCGGUGAAAUGCGUAGAGAUCUGAAGGAAUACCGGUGGCGAAGGCGGCCCCUGGACAGAUACUGACACUCAGAUGCGAAAGCGUGGGAGC